GUAGGGAAUCUUCCACAAUGGACGAAAGUCUGAUGGAGCAACGCCGCGUGAGUGAAGAAGGGUUUCGGCUCGUAAAGCUCUGUUGGUAGUGAAAGAAAGAUAGAGGUAGUAACUGGCCUUUAUUUGACGGUAAUUACUUAGAAAGUCACGGCUAACUACGUGCC
rnacentral:rRNA from 1 species